GUCAGGAUGGCCGAGCGGUCUAAGGCGCUGCGUUUAGGGUCGCAGUCUCCCCUGGAGGCGUGGGUUCGAAUCCCACUUCUGACA